rnacentral:ncRNA from 1 species
AUACAGAGGCCUUGCAGCGACGAAAAACAUUGGUCCUCGAGUGUAAAGGCAGAAGGGAGCUUGACUGCAAGACUCACCCGUUGAGCAGAGACGAAAGUCGGCCUUAGUGAUCCGACAAUGCCGAGUGGAAGGGCCGUCGCUCAAU